rnacentral:rRNA from 1 species
AAACNACUGCNAAUACCGCAUAAUGUCUCCGGACCAAAGCGGGCUCCGGCUCGCACCUGAAGAGAGGCCCAAGUGAGAUUAGCUAGUUGGUAAGGUAAAGGCUUACCAAGGCGACGAUCUCUAGCUGUUCUGAGAGGAAGAUCAGCCACACUGGGACUGAGACACGGCCCAGACUCCUACGGGAGGCAGCAGUGGGGAAUAUUGCACAAUGGGGGAAACCCUGAUGCAGCCAUGCCGCGUGUGUGAAGAAGGCCCUCGGGUUGUAAAGCACUUUCAGUUGUGAGGAAAAGUUG